ensembl:lncRNA
AUCAAUUUGUCAUGUUUUAUUUUUCAUGAAUUCAUAUCGAUGAUUGAAACUCAUCAGAAGAAACAUUUUCUCUUCAAGGCUUCAUAAAUAUGUGAAUCUAAUAUUUGCCAUGAGGAGAAGUGUGUCAGUCCUCAGAGCUCAGACAGUAGCUGCUCAUGUGUUUGUCCUUUCUAUAGAAAACAGUCCACAGACUGUUACAGAGGAAGGUCUCAGUGCUUCACUCAGUCUGUUCACACUGUGACAGAAACACACAUGAACACAUGUUCAUUUAUUCACAUGUUCACACAUGGAGAGAAGUGACAGAAUUCUGAAGCAAACACUGAAUGUGUGUGUGCACUGUUCCACUUACAGCAUGUGACAUCAAUAAUAACAGCAUCAGAGAUGUUGGUGUGUUUACAGACUCACCAAAAUAAAAGCCUGAGAACCAAACCUGGUCUGAGGCUCUGAUGCUAAGCUAACAGCAUGAUUAGCCUGUUAGCAUCUACAUGAAGGAUCAAUAACAACAUGCUGACUGUGUGUUUCUGUGUCAUGUUGCUGUGUUUGUGUGAAGGUGUGAGCUCUGCUAUGAGUCAGUGUGAGGACAGAGAGGAGGGAGUCCCUCCCUCUAAAAGCCCUCUGUGUGGGGACCAUGAGAGCCGGACCAAAGCUCAGAGAACAAAGCAGCAGCACACUGCACACUCUGCUGGACCUGGACCUGGACCUGGACCUGGACCUGCCAGCUGUGUGUCCAUGAAGAGUGAUUGGUCAAAGGAUCGGCCCCCUGAUUUCAAAGAUGUUGAUCCAUCUGAGGGUCAAAGGAUCCAGGAUGUGAGAGCAGACUCUGCUGGACCUGGACCCAGCUGUGUGUCCAUGAAAAGUGAUUGGUCGAUGGGUAGGCCCAUUGAAUUCAAAGCUGAUCAGCCAUCUGAUGAUCAAAGGUAAGAAUCACUCUGGAAGUGUCUCCAUGCUGUGAUGAGCUCUGCUGGACUCUUGGGGUUGUAUGUGUCUGUUUGCUCUGCAGGUGG